rnacentral:misc_RNA from 1 species
UCUCCGUAGGUGAACCUGCGGAGGGAUCAUUACAGAGUUCUCGCCCUCGCGGGUAGAUCUCCCACCCACUGUUAUCGUUGCUGUGUUGCUUUGGCGGGCCGCCGGGCCCCGCUCGGCCGCCGGCUCCGGCUGGCGCGCGCCCGCCAGAGGCCCAGCAAACUCUGAAUGUUAGUGUCGUCUGAGUACUAUAUAAUAGUUAAAACUUUCAACAACGGAUCUCUUGGUUCUG